GUCUACAGCCAUACCACUGUGAACACACCCAGUCUCACCUGAUUUCAGAAGGUAAGCAGAGUCAGGCCUGGUUAGCACUUCGAUUCGAGAAUGGAAAAAUGAAAACC
rnacentral:rRNA from 1 species